AACCUAGCACACCUGCGGUGUGUACCUGCGGAGGGAUCAUUACCUAGAGUUGUAGGCUUUGCCUGCUAUCUCUUACCCAUGUCUUUUGAGUACCUUACGUUUCCUCGGUGGGCUCGCCCACCGAUUGGACAAAUUUAAACCCUUUGCAGUUGAAAUCAGCGUCUGAAAAAACUUAAUAGUUACAACUUUCAGCAACGGAUCU
rnacentral:misc_RNA from 1 species